CAUGUCUCUCUCCGUGUCCAACUCUCUCUCAGGAAAAAGGAGGAGAUAGUUGGACUCAGAGAGAGAAGAUGAUAAAGAGGGAGGGAGAGAAGGAGAGAGAAGAGGGACACAGAGAGAAAAGAGGUACAUAGAAAGGAGAGAGGCACACAGGACAGAUGGGUUCUUCCAGAGAUAGUGGGACACACGAGACAUCUCCCUCCCUCUAUUCUCUCUGUCCCUCUUUCUCACGUCUCUCUCUGUGUCCAACUCUCUC